UCCUCCGAUUCCUCCUUAACAAGGAGUUGGCAGAACAUUAUUUAGGAGCAUCUUGAGGAGUCGCCUUUGUCCUGGUCUUAUCGGGUGUCCUCUGGUUCUCCCUGAUCCUCUGCAAUGUCCUUCACAAACUGGGUCCCAUGCUAGCCCUGUCUGAAUGACCAUUUCUCUUUGCCUGCUUCUGUCUGCAACUGGCCAAUGUUUCAGAGUUCAGACUUUAAUUGCAGAUUUGUAUCAACUAUAUUUCUAUAGCUCUAGCUAUUGCUUAGAUUGGCAUAAAGGAAGAACUUCAGGAAAUUUGCUUCCUUCAUUUUCCUUGUGUUUUCAACUCAAUGCAUUCCUACAUCAGCAAAUCCACUUAAUACCUUGGUCAGCUUUGGUUGCAGUGUGAUGUGGUGCAAAUAGAAGAUUUUAACAUUUGGCCAUGUCAUUGGCAUUCCACUUCUAAGCCACAGAAUAAAGAAAAUAGUAUGAGUGAUUAUUCUCAAUUCUCCCAAGGAUGAUAUAUUAACGAAUAACAUUUUAGAUACCAAGGAGAGACAUUAAUUUAUUACGUACAAUAAUGACUUAGGAGGGCAUUAGAGUUUAAUCAUCUCUUGGACCUUGUUGAGGACAGCUCUAAAGGCCCACCCUUGGCCAGCAAGUUCUCUGAACUGCUUACUAACCAGCCUUCUGGGAUGUUGCCCCAUGGUUAUUAUGGAAUUGGUUUUAGAACUGCACCAAUGGGUCCGUUUGAACAUCACUUCAUCGCUCAGUCUUCUCAUGGCUGACAUGGACUUGAUCCCCAGCACUUCAUCUUCUGAGUCAACUGUCUUGAUGUCAUUUUUAGUUAACUUCCUGCUUCUGACUGUUGGCUUCAUUUUUUAUUGCCAGUAAACCCUUUUGCCAUUCAAGGUUAAUAAUGAGUAGUGAUCUUCGUCUUUCACAUAUCUCUGUGUUGGUGUCGCAAUCCAAUGUACACAUCAGGAUAGAUGCGGAGAGGGCUGAUGGCCACUCUGAGUGUAUUAUAACCAGCAUUUCAAUAUAUACAUAGCUUACAGCUGUUAAACAUACACAGGUGUUCUGGAUGAAGUAAUUAGCAAAUGCCAAGAAUUCUUAGUGAUUUCUCAAGGAGCCCUCUCUUGGCCUCUGUUUUGAUAUUAUCAUGUUAUUGCUGUGCUCGUAUAUUUUUGUCUCGGGGCAGGCAAGGUCUCUUAGGCAACGGCCCCUCCUGCUCCUGAUAUCGAUGUCGUUUCUCCAUCUGUGCCCCGGGUUGGCCGCCGCCUGUCUUAGGUUGCCUCCCCCUGGAGGUCUUACCCGUCAUUGGCUAACCAGCCUUCUCACCUCCGGGUCACAGUUUGUUGGCAAGCUUUUUCCAGUGAUUAUUAACCCUUCCUGUGUCAGGGGCGGCUACACUCUGAACCCUUCCAUAACUAUGUGCUAAAACUUGUGGGGAGCUCAUGCCAAGUGUGGCUCUGACUGAGGGUUGGUCUGACCUAGGAAAGUCUUCUCGACGCAGGCAGAGGCUCAGAGACUACUGCUCUAAGUUACUUGCUAUAAGAGAUGAGUGCCUAGCUUGCUUUUAGAAAACUUUUUUUCUUUCUAGUCUUUAUAAAUCCCUUUUUGUUAGGUCUUCACUUUUACACGCGUCGUACCCUUCAUUCUCACAAAAUAGUCUGAGGAAGAAAAUAUCAAUUCCUUUUUAAAGAAGAUGAAACCAAAUGUCCAUGGUUAAGAAGUGUUAAGUCAUUUUUCGUAGACCUUCAGCUUUCCCAUAUAAUUUGUCAUCACAUCCUGUCAACUCUGCCUCUACAGUGAUUCUCCAUUUUCUCCCUUCAUUUCUGUUCUCACUGAAAAGGCUCCAGAGAGGACCUCAUUAACUCUCUUCUGGAGGACUUUAACAGCUUCCUAACUGGCAUCACAACCCUAGUCUCUCCGUCUUCCCCGUAUUCCUACAUCCUCUUGCCAGAGGUAUUUUUCUCAAAUACAGGAUUCCUCAUGCCAAUUUACUGCUCUAAAGCCUCCUCCUCCUCCCGUCCUUCAGAAACCUUAGUGUGUGAUUCAGGGCCUUCACCAGGCAGGUCCAAACCAACCUUUCUAGGCUUUUUCUCGCAUCACGUCUUCAGGUGUUUUACACCACAGCUGAACCACACUCCUACUGUUUGCAGAACAAGUCCUCUGACUUCCAGGCUCGGCACUUCCCUACAGUUUCUCUUGCCUGGUCUACAGGGGUGAGUGAUCUUGGAAGGACAAGAUGGAAGAUUCUGUGACAACAAGAUCGUGCUGCUCACUUGCUUCAAAGACUAUGUAUGUGGAGGGUGUUUUUCUUCCUGUUAACACAUCCUAGAGCUCCUUGCUAUCACUGGAGACUGAUACCGCCAUUUUAAUCUAUACAAGUGCAACAAGUGUUUCUGCAGCACCAAGGUUCACUAGAGUCACAAAACCAGCUCGGCCUCCCCAGAUUCCUGGAAGUCCAGCUCUCCAUCAGUACUUUCUGCUCUGCAAAAGAUCUGGAAAGGACACACCCACACCCUCUUGGAGGCGAUGUGUCUCCCUUGCUGGGCUGCUCCUCUGCUGCUUGGGCCUGGGUGCUGCUGCUCCCUCCGCUGGUAUUUCCCACAUGGGAAAUAUAACUAACGCCACUUCCAGGCAAUUUCCAC
rnacentral:lncRNA from 1 species